GAUUCUGUCGCGAACCCUCUCACGGCAGCUAUGAGACUGCUGCGCUCCCCAGACGAGGAAACCUGGUCUCCCGGAGCCAGGUGGAGUCUCGCUCUGUCGCCCAGGCUGGAGUGCGGUGGCGCGAUCUCGGCUCACUGCAAGCUCCGCCUCCCGGGUUCACGCCAUUCUCCUGCCUCAGCCUCCCGAGUAGCUGGGACUACAGAGUCUUGCUCUGUCGCCCAGGCUGGAGUGCAGUGGCGCGAUCUCGGCUCACUACAACCUCUGCCUCCCAGGUUCAAGUGAUUCUCCUGCCUCAGCCUCCUGAGUAGCUGGGAUUACAGCUCUGGGACAAACCAGCUUCUAUGUCAUGAGCACACUCAGGCAGCUCAUUGGAGAGAUCUGCAUGGUAAAGCAAUGAGGCCUCCUGCCAGCAGCCAUGUGAGUGGCAUCUUGGAGCCAGACCCUCCAGCCCCAGUCAAGCCUUCGGAUGCCUGCAGCCCUGGCUGACAUUUUAACCACAACUUCAUGAGAGAUUCUGAGCCAGAAUCACCCAGCUAAGCUGCUCCCGGGUUGCCAGAUCAAUCCACAGUUCUCCAGGGACCCAUUGUGGUUUUGUGCUUCCUCUGUGCCUGUUCUGCUCCUCUCCAUGCACCCCAGCCCCUCCCAGUCCCCUCAACGGUCCUUCUGGCCAGGCCCAUAGCCCCCUCUCUGCCCCACAGUCCUCAGGCUCCAGCUUUCUCGUUAGGAAGUGUUAGAAAGUUGCUGGAGUGAGAAAUGAGCCUGUGAAACUCGUUGUCCUAAUUAAACUUCCACAAGGAGAGUGACAAGAGGCGACGGGGAGGAAACGGUGCCACCACCAAGGUCUCAGCCUGGGCCCAGGUCGAGGAAGGCCUUUGUCCUGCAGAACAAAAGCCACUGUUUGCACGUGUUAAACUUCAUCAAACUUCAACAGACCCAGGUGCAAAACCCCACAUCCCAAAUGCCAUCCGGGCUUAUGCCACCUUCCCGAGCAUGGACCGUCCCUAGCCGUCAACCCUAAUCAGGGCCAUGCCCUACAUCAAAGCUGCACUCCCUCCACAGACAGCUUCUGCUCUGAGAUGCAUUGUUCCUAUGACUUCCUACACUCCGCCCUUGUCUGACGAAUUAGGGCACGGAGCCCCCCCAUGGCACAGCUGGGCCCUGCUGGCAUUGUUAAUGAGGUAGGAAGGGCGCGUUUGUCUGAGCCUGGGACUAACAUAAUCACAUAAAGUUGUUGCUUUGGAAUAGAUGGAGCUGCCCCAGAGUCGAUUUUCUUGGAAGCAACGCAAAGCACAGCUUCCUGGGAGAAGACACAAUGCCUCCUAUUGUCUCUGCCACUUCCCCUCCAGCCUCCCAGCAUUUCUGCGUCUCCUCGGGAGCCACUGCCCUGUGCAAGAGCUGUUUGCUGAUGCCCAGCCGCGGCUUCCAAAACUCCCGCGAGAAGUCGUUUCUGUCCACAGUCAUUGUUUCCAGACCAGCCGAGCCAACUGGGGAGGAGAGGCCAAGCCCAGGGAGAGCAGUAAGAGGCCCAGCUUGCAACACAGGCCCCCGGCGGCUGGAGUCGGCUCAUGGGUUGCUGGGGGGCAGCUGGUGCCAGCCCUGCUAGACAUGUCCAGGGUCGGGGCAGAGGCCAGGGUGGCUCUCAUCCACAACGAGGCUCCAGGAAGAGGCUCCAGAGGGCCCAGGUCCCUGGAGGAAGACAGAGGGUGGAUUAUCCAGUGAGUCCUCAGAUUGCUCCAGGGAGACUCUACCCCUAGGCCCUCAUCCUACCUAGGACUGAGGCAGCCAUCUGGGUCUCUGCUUCCCUAACCACUUCCUCCUCCACCCGACCAUCACCUAGUCUCAAGGACUUGGGCAGCUUCUGGAAGUGGCUGAGACUGGAAGAAUGUUGUCACACCUACCAGAUAUCCCUACGUGUAUCUCUACCACCCCCACUACAUAUUCUGAAGAACCAAGGUGAGCUGGGGGAAUCCCCAGGCCAGCAGGGCAAGGCCUGGGCAGGAAUGGAGUGAGGAAGUGAGAAGUGGGGAUCUUGGGGGUGGGCGGGCUGUGGGGCUGGGCUGUGCUGCACACUGGGCAGGAGGCAGGAGAUGGCAAUGGAAGCGACAGCUCCCCAUCUUCCCCGGCUGCAUACGUGAGGGAUUCUGCUGCAUUCACUGAGUCACCAAAGGACACUGGAAGGCCAUCAGGAUUUUUGGGUGACCAAGACAUGGCUCCCCUCUUACUGCCUGUGGGGAGACAGGCAUGUGAACACCCAAGUCUAACCCAAGCUGAGUUGACUGAGGGCCAUUUAAAGAUUCCACAGAGGCUGAGAGCAGUGGCUCAUGCCUGUAAUCCCAGCACUUUGGGAGGCCAAGGCAGGUGGAUCACUUGAGGUCAGGAGCUCGAGACCAGCCUGGCCAACAUGGUGAAACCCCGUCUCUACUAAAAAUACAAAAAUUAGCCAGGCAUGGUGGUGCACACCAGUAGUCCCAGCUACUCAGGAGGCUGAGGCAGGAGAAUCGCUGGAACCCAGGAGGCAAAGGUUGCAGUGAGCCACGAUCACACCACAGUACUCCAGCCUAGGUGACAGAGCGAGACUCCGUCUCGAAAAUAAACAAAUAAAGAAAGGUUCCAAGGAUGGUCUGGAGGACAAACAAAGGAGGAGAUUUGGUGCAGGAGUUAGGACAAAGACUCCUGGGACAGCAGCCCUCACUUGGGGCCAUAGUGAAUGAAUGGGGGCCUUUUGCAGAAGGGAAAUGGAGGACAUGUGUGGUGAAGGCUUUGCUGAAGCAUCUCUUAUAAAAGGGGCAAAAGCACUUGCUCUCCUCCCAGCUCUGGCUCAGCCUCUCUCUCUUCAAGUCCCUGGCAUCCCUGGAAAACCAUGAUUUUUCCAUUCUGCAGCCAGCCCAGGCACCUCCUCCCACCCCCGCACACUGCAGUCUGGUGUGUGUGGUGGGCACACAUAGAACACUUGCUGGUCUUGAAAAUGAAGCCAUCUUUUGGGGCCCCUAGAAAUCAAAGAGACCCACUUAGCCAAGAUAUCACUCUUGGACACCAGCAAGGGUGAGAUCACUUGAUAGGUAUUUUGCCGUGUGUUUCUUUUUAACUAUAUAAAAAACAAAAGGGUGGAUGUGCAAACCCAACCCAAGAAUACCUUGGCUCAGGCUCAACUAGAUGAAACUUUUAAAAAUGAUUUAAUGUUAUGUUAGACUGUUGCAUAUUAAAGCGAUGUAAUGCCUUCUAAGAAACGAGAGUCAGAUCCUGAAAGCGAUGACUUGGGUAAAUGUAAGGAGUUAUAACUCACUUUUCAAGAGAGCAACUAUAAACAUUUUGCCCAAUAUGUACAGACCUCUAAUGACAGUGUGCAAAGACUCUUUCGUUCCCAGAUUAUGAGGCUGCCACUUUCUCCUCCCCUUCCUGAGCCGCACUUUUCUAAACAGCAACUGUCGGGGCAGGGGGAUGGGAAGCUCAUGAGAGAAGGAAAUAUUUGGGACCGUGUCGGCCAGUGGAAUGGGGCUUGUGGUCACCGUGUUACAGAGUCAAAUCACUUCCCAGUAAACACCAGUUUCCGAUGGCUCUCUGGCCAGGGUUGGCCGGGGACAAGCAGGGAGUAUAUGUGUCGGGUACGUUGCGUCACAAGCUGUGCAGCUGUGUAGGCCUCUCUGUCCAGAGGCAUUAAUGGAAAAUGAUUGGGCACCCAGCCCACAGCAGAUGCGCUGAGGAAUCCAGCCAGGGGGAGCUGGGAUGCAGUGGGAGAGGGGACACGCAGGGCCUGGCUGAGAAGCCUCGCGAGGUAACCACAGGCGGAAAUCUGAAAAAUGAAGACGUUCCCACCAGUUCCAGAAAACAGGGCUAACUUAAAAUGCAGCCCCUUUCCUUGAAGUGGGCUUGGCAGGCCCCAGGUGUUGAAAGGC
rnacentral:lncRNA from 1 species